UUUCCUGCCUUAGAGAAAAUGUCUCUGGUUUUAAUUUUUCAUUUAUUUUCCUGAACAAAUGGACACAAUUCAUACUUGGCAAGCAAAAUCGGGCUAAUAUCUUGUUGUUUGGAGAAACACAGGGGUCCAGAAAUUGACAUGUCUGGAUGCAAGCCUCUCUCACUGUUCUACUUCUAGUGAAGAUAUAACCUUUCCAGACAGUGACUUCUCUUCAUUUGAUUUGUUUGGUGUCAUCAGGCCACUGUCAAGCCUAGACAAGGGGGCACUCAUCAACAAUGCCUGUCGUCACCUGAGUUUGGCCACAACUGCAAUUUGGAUAUUUACACUGACUCAUUCCUUGAAGCUUAUAUGUGCAAUGACCUUGGCCAGUCUGAAACCUGUGCGGAAUCCAUUAUCUGUUUCAAAUAGGGGUGGGUGAAGAGCCUGCCUGCCUGCCCGAGAGCAACCUUCAACUUAAAAAUAAUGCAAUUUUCACUGAAGGAUACAGAACUGAAGGACAGGUAGAAAUGGAGCUGAGGAAACAUUGUAAGACUGACCUUUGCACAAGUGAAGCAUAGAUCAAGGACUUUUAGGCUCACCCAAAUUUGAGCAUGACCAUGGACCAUGCAGACUCCAAAUAUAAGUGGGAUUCUCUCUGGUAACCAUCAGGAACCUAAAGAGAACCUGGAACUGUGUAUCUUCCCUGUCAAAGCUGAAAGCCAAAAGAUCGUGUUCUCUCUUCUCCUAACUCUUGUCAACUCCAACCCUUAUACUGAACAUUGACUAAUCAGUCUACAUACAAGAAAGUUCCAUGCAAAUGGGCUUUGGUGUGUGUGUGUUUAAAAGAAAGGGAGCUUUACCCUCAAGACUCUCUGUUUAUGUGACAUAUAAAACCUGAGAAGAUUUUUCUUUCUCAUGGAGUCAGUGCUCCAAAAUUGGAGAUCAUCGGUAUCUACCAAUAUAAAAUAAGACUAAAUGGAUUGUAAGAGGUCAUAGAAAUAUUAAUGAAUUUGGAAUAAAAAAAAUCCCGUUUUGAAUCUAGCUUCUCUUCCACUAUUUUCUUGGAGAAGUUACAACAUGUCUGAACCUUAUUUACUAUUCUGGAGGUACUCAGGGAUUUAUGAACCUCCACACUACUUUUAUGAUGGGAAGAAUAAGAUAUGCCCCUUUCACAGGAUUAUUGAAGGGGGGUCCUUAAAAACCCUGUAACCUUAAGUAAAUAUGAAAUACUAUCAUUAUUUUGUUUGUAUUUCUACUGCUAGACUGGGAAUAAUUUUCUUUCCUAUAACUUAAUGAGUUAAGCAAUAGAAUAUAACAAAAAUUCUUCUAAUCCUAGCUUGAGAGAGGUGGAUGGCUUCUAUAAGUGAGCAUUUGAAUCAACUGCUAUCUGCCUCAUUUUCUCUGUCUGUAAAAUGGAUAUAAUUAUAUUUUUCACCUACCUCAUGACAGCAGUAUUGUGAGGAAUAAAUCAUUGUUGAGAACAUUGCAAGUACAGAGUCUAUAUGAAUAUAAAAAAAUAAUUUGAAAUCAUAAAAGAACUGAACUCAGAACCUCUUCUACUGGUUUGAUUUAGGCAUAAGUUUGGCACCAUAAUUAGAAUAGAGUGGAUGAGUCAAGAUUUUAGUACAAUGAUCUAGGAAAUUGAAUGGCCCCUUUAUGUUCCCAUUUAACUUAAGGUUGAAUGAAAAAUGAUAUAUUGUUCCUGAUAGCUACAUGUCACCUCUGUGAUAAAUUGAAUAGACCCUAGAUAGAGAGACUUCAAUUUUUCUGUCAGGAAUCUUGUGAAGAAUAAUAAUAAAGCUUCCACUAUCAUUAAAAAUCAGUAUUUUAACUUCUGAGUUUAAAUAUUACAGAAACAUUAGAUAUUCAUUAUAUAGGGUGGGGAAUUCAUUAAUAUCAAACACAAAAUAAAAAAUAAAAUAUUGAUUCUAAAAAUACCGGGUGACACAAUUCUUCUUACUCUAGACUCAUACACUGGAAUUUCUACCAUUGGAUCAAACAUAGCUCUUGUUUACAGGACAAAAGAGAUGGCCUGAUAGCAAUUUUGAAGGUGUAAAUAAGAGGAAAGCAACUCUUAUUUUAAAAGUCCUGCAAAUUUUAACUCUAAGUCUUUCUUUUCAAAAUUUCUGGAGUCAAGGAGAGUAAAUUAUAAACCUAACAGUCUUGACUUGUUUUCCAAAUGGAAAAAGGAUAUAUUUAAGUUGCAGAUGAGUAUAUAUAUUA